rnacentral:rRNA from 1 species
CCUACGGGAGGCAGCAGUGGGGGAUAUUGCACAAUGGGGGGAACCCUGAUGCAGCGACGCCGCGUGGGUGAAGGAGUAUUUCGGUAUGUAAAGCCCUAUCGGCAGGGAAGAAAUUGGACGGUACCUGACUAAGAAGCCCCGGCUAACUACGGGCCAGCAGCCGCGGUAAUACGUAGGGGGAAAGCUUUAUCCGAUUUCACGGGGGUAAAAGGGAGCGUAGACGGCCAGGCAAGCUUGGAGUGAAAGCCCGGGGCCCAACCCCGGGACUGCUCUGGGGAAUGGCCGGCUGGAGUGCGGGAGGGGCAGGCGGAAUUCCUGGGGUAGCGGUGAAAUGCGUAGAUAUCAGGAGGAACACCGGCGGCGAAGGCGGCCUGCUGGACCGCGACUGACGUUGAGGCUCGAAAGCGUGGGGAGCGAACAGGAUUAGAUACCCGAGUAGUC